UCUUUUUGUACAGUUUAAUGAAAGCAUCAUUUCGAAUUUCAGAUCUAGAAUUGGGUAAGAUGCUUUAGUAGAGGGUAUCAGGGGUGGAAGGAGUUCAUGAGACGAUCGAAGAGAUGGCGCCGCCGCACCAGUGACCUCAACCCUUUUAGCCCCCACAUCAGAACCACCGUCUCACAAUCGCAGACGGAAUCAUUCUUCAAUUUUCACAAAUCCACCGCGAUCUCUCUGUUUCCCAGAUCGAGAUGCACAUCGGGUCUCUUCGUAAAAGGUCAGUAAUCGUGGCCGGGAGGCGUAGGGUCUGAUUGAAUGCACUCUUCGUAAGAGCCGCCAAUUUCUUCAAUUUAUGGAAAUCAUGGCCGAUGGGGAGGUUGCAGCUCAAUGAGGUGUCGCCGCCCCCUACUUCGUCGACUCGCUCUUCAACCGCAUUGUCCUUUCUAAAACGACUUACGAUAGGUUGAGCUUGGAUCAGCAGACUUUGAAAAAACAAUGCUCGUGUCAUGGAGUGGGUAAUUUCAAACUUUAAUUGAUUUUGUUCAACAUGGUAUCAAAUUUUUUGUUACCUGAGGUUUUUUGCCCAUCAAUUUUGAAAUUUUGUUCAACAUUGAACAAAACAUAAACCUGAUAUUGAAAUUUUGUUCAACGUUGAACAAAUCAACUUUAUCUGAUUUUGUUCAACAUGGUAUCAAAUUUUCACAUAGGCUUUGCUAUGAUUGUGUUUCACCUUGUGAAUAUUAUUUGUUGAUGAUGGUGUUCAGGUUUAUGGUUUGGAUUCAGAGUUUGGUCAGUUUAGAACAUAACUUAAAUAUUGCGUGCAAAUUACUUGUUAUUAUUAGUGUGCUCAUUUCUGGUUCUUAGAGAUUAAAUUGAAUGACAGAAGGGUGUUAAUGAGUCUUGGAAAAGUAGUAUGCAUGCACAUGUUAAAUAGAUGUCAGAACCAAUGCAAGGAAUUAGUGCUGGUUUGUUUCCUCAUAAAUUCGGAUGUCAACUUGUUGGCUGAAGGUUAUAUUCAACUUAGUCUAUAAAUGGUUUUAAUACUACAUCGGAUUAACUGAUUUAAAUGUUAAAUAAGUUUCUUGCUCUUAAUUGUUAGGACUUGUUGCAAAUUGCAGUGAAAACUCCAACUCCAACUAUAAACAUUCAGUUAGAAACAUGUGAGUGGAUUGUAUCCGCAGGGGAAAUCACAGCCAGACUUUGAUUUCACACUCCACGCACUUUCAUGUUAAGGCUACUGUAAUGCAAAUCUAUGGUAACUUGGUUAAAAGUUUGACUGAACUUUGUGGGGCACCCGCAUAUUGAUCAACUAUUAUUUUGCAUCUAAUGUGAAGUCUACUUCUAAUAGCAAAGUCAAUUAACAUAGUAGAUGUGAGUUUGCUCAAAUAUUAGUAGCUGGUAUGGUACAUAAUCUUUCAGAGAACUCAAAAGUAAAGUGUAUUUCUCAGUCCAUGUCAUUAAUGUCAAAAUAGUGUUCCCUUUUUAACUGUCUAUAUUUAUUAUUCACGCAGCUCUGUUUCUAUACUCUUAUAAUCAUCCCUUUGAAGUUGUUAUUUUAUAGUCUAUCUUUUGCGUCUCACUUUGUAACAUACAAUGUAUCUUUUGCAAGCAUAAGAUAUGCAAGGAGCGUCACAAAAUUCUGAUGUAUUUGAAUACUGCUGAUGGGGCUGACAGUGCCAAAGAGUUAGGUUCAUCUUAGCCAUAUCAUUGGCAGUUCGAAGGCAGGGAUUUUUUUUAUAAUUCAUCCUCUUCAUAAUUCUUCAUUUGAAGUACAGCUAGCAAAAUGUUGGUUCUAACUAACAUGUUAUAGUAUGAGAACUACAUGUUAUAGUUCUAACUAAGCUACGUUUGCUCAUUAGUGUUUAUGUAUCCAGGGUACUGCCAGACAGUUAUGUCAGCGUUUGCAAGAGCCAACAAAAGAGCGAAAGAGGAUACUCUUAAAUCUCAUUUUGAAAGGAUGAUCAAGAUUGGGCAGGAAAAAGUCGCUAUUGGAUAUUUAUAAGUAGCUUCCGUCUCUAUACAAUUACAAAGCCUCGCAUUUUGAAAGGUUGCAAAUUUGUUGUAUAAGUGGCUGCCGUCUUGAUGUAAUUUAGACGACACAGUUCACAACCAUAAAAUUGCACCAAAGGCUAGCUAUCAAAUAAACUAUGCAUCACACAGAUCACCUAAA